UGAAGAAUUAUUGCAGAUUUUAGAAAAGAAGGAUGACAUGAUCAUAUGAUUGGGAAGAUUCUUCUGCAUGGCAUGAGGAGACCAGAAUCCAAGAGGGCAGUCUGAGAGCAGAGAUGGAGGCACUCUUGGGGGAGCCAUCUGAAAAUGGAAUUGUACAUACUAUUGUAGUGGAGGAAGAAAUUGAGGCACUGAUAUAUGACGUACCAUGCCCCAAAGACAUUCAUCAAGUAAAGGAUCACCUAAGAUUGGAACUCAG